rnacentral:rRNA from 1 species
CGGCCUAGGGGGGCAGCAGUGGGGAGUAUUGCACAAUGGGGGAAACCCUGAUGCAGCGACGCCGCGUGAGUGAAGAAGUGCACCGGCACGUAAAGCUCUAUCAGCAGGGAAGAAAAUGACGGUACCUGACUAAGAAGCCCCGGCUAACUACGUGCCAGCAGCCGCGGUAAUACGUAGGGGGCAAGCGUUAUCCGGAUUUACUGGGUGUAAAGGGAGCGUAGACGGCUUUGCAAGCCAGAUGUGAAAGCCCGGGGCUCAACCCCGGGACUGCAUUUGGAACUGUGUGGCUAGAGUGUCGGAGAGGG